CUGUCAGUACCGCAACUCCCCCCAGUUCUCCGUAUAUCUGUGUGAAGUACUCAGGUCGUGUGAGUUGGAUGCGGUUCUGAUUUAUAAGCUGAGUAGUGACGCUCCAACAUGAUUAUGAUCAAUAGUGUUCCAAUGCGUGGUACACACCUACUACCGAGUUCCCUGUCAUCCCCCUCGGGAGCCGGCAGAGUGAGUAUUAGACACUGGAGGAAACCCUGAUCCAGCGACGCGGCUUUAGUGAUGAUUUAUCUCUUUAUGGAAAGCUUUAUCACCCGCGAGUUUAAUACGUUACCUGACUAAGAAGCCCCUUCUAAAUACUUCCCAGAACAAACAAUAAUACAUAUAAUAAACGCGUUAUCCGGAUGUUCUGUCUGUAGAGGGUGCGUGGGUGGUAUGCCAUGUCGGAAGUGAAACCUAUGGGCUCAACCCAUAUCUGCUUUUGAAACAGUCGAAUUAUUUCGCAGGAGAGGGAAGUGGAAUUCCUAGUGUAGCGGUGAAAUGCGUAGAUAUUAGGGGGGACACCAGUGUGGAGAGGGGCUUUUUGGACUGUUUUCUACACUGAGGCACGAAAGCUGGGGGAGCAACCAGGAUUAGAUACCCUGGUAGUUCCCCCGUAAACGAUGAAUACUAGGUGUCGUGAGUAAAAAAUCCCGGCUCCGUCGCUAACCCAUAAAGUUUUCCCCCCGGGGAGUACGUUGGCAAGAAUAAAACUCAAAGGAAUGGACGGGGCCCCCCCCAAGCGCUGGGGCAUGUGGUUUAAUUUGAACCAACGGGAAGACCCUUCCCAGGUCUGGCCAUUGGCAUGACAGCGCUUUAAAGGAGUUUUC
rnacentral:rRNA from 1 species